GAGGAGUGAUGAUGCUGAGAAACGGUUUCGCCUAACGAGCUGAUGAUGUCUUGUGAUGUCACUUCUUCUCUUGGCUGUCUGACCGA